rnacentral:rRNA from 1 species
UACGUAGGGCGCAAGCGUUAUCCGGGGUUAUUGGGCGUAAAGAGCUCGUAGGCGGUUUGUCGCGUCUGCCGUGAAAGUCCGGGGCUCAACUCCGGAUCUGCGGUGGGUACGGGCAGACUAGAGUGAUGUAGGGGAGACUGGAAUUCCUGGUGUAGCGGUGAAAUGCGCAGAUAUCAGGAGGAACACCGAUGGCGAAGGCAGGUCUCUGGGCAUUAACUGACGCUGAGGAGCGAAAGCAUGGGGAGCGAACAGG